UACGGAGGGUGCAAGCGUUGUCCGGAAUCACUGGGCGUAAAGGGCGCGUAGGCGGCUCGGUAAGUAGGGGGUGAAAUCCUGCGGCUCAACCGCAGGGCUGCCUUCUAAACUGUCGAGCUCGAGCACGGUAGAGGCAGAUGUAAUUCCCGGUGUAGCGGUGGAAUGCGUAGAGAUCGGGAAGAACAUCAGUGGCGAAGGCGGUCUGCUGGGCCGUUGCUGACGCUGAGGCGCGACAGCGUGGGGAGCAAACAGG
rnacentral:rRNA from 1 species